GUGAAGUUUAAAUGUAGAUGAAGGAUGACAGCUAAAUCUUGAAAUCAUAGAAACACUCAUCUAUGAUAACUACAGUAUCUGCAAAUCAUGAGUUCACUGAUCAGAGCGUGCCAUUUGUCCUUCUAGGAUAACAUCAAGCAGUCCAGGCGUUUGGUCACUUCUGCUGAACAUCCUCCAAUCUUAUUGCUUCAUGACUUCUGCCUAGUAAGCAUUCAGCAUGAACCAGGAAAUCCCUUGGAUCCAGGCCCUCUCACAGGUUUCAGCCUUCUCCCAUUUACGCACCUGGUACUGAAGAGUACCAAGAAGAGCCUGAUACUCUAAAUAUCAAAAUUAUGGAUCAACCCAACUCAUUUUCAUGAGGAGCAGAGGCAAGACUUUAACCUUGCCCAAGCACAAGGAUUUUGCAAGUCUCUCUAGAGAGCCAGAUCCCUCAUGAUCUGAGACCUGCAUGCUGACGAGCAAGAAGGUUUCUGACAUGAGAAGCCUCAAGACCUGCCUCUCCCUCCUGGACUUGCUCUGCACUCUACCUGCUUGCUGCCUAAGGCUGGCCACUCUGCUGCUGCUCUCUCCCCAAGAAGGUGUCUGCAAUCAGAUUCCUCACCACGAAAGGGGCCUGCAUGCUGAUGGACUCUCCAGGGCCUGCUACUGGAGACCUGCUGCAUCCUCCCGGAUCUACUUGGUACCUGCACCUUCCUGCUGCUCAAGACCAGCCAUGCUGCUGCUGCUCUCCCCCUGCGCAUUUGCCCCAGACCAUCAGAACAUUGUGCAACGGGACUGCUGCUGGAUCCUGGUGGUGACUAUCCCCGCUUUACGCAAUUCUUGCUUCCUUCUAUCUUUUCUAUUGCCCGCCUUCACUACCCAAUCACCCUAAAUCAUCCAUCCUCCCCUUCCCCAUCUCCCUUAUUAAGAUUUGUAACAAACUGGUCAGACCAACAUCUGGACUGAUGUUUCUUAAUCUCACGUCGGGUAUACAUAUUUCAAAGAACCUCCUCUCCCUCCUAUAAAUUGGAGCAAGACAGCCUCACUCACCACAGGUCUCAUGAUCUGUCCCUUACAUGUUGACAUUGUGCCUGGAGUUAGACUGUGGCAAAGAAGGAUUUGUUCAGGUUGACAACAAAGAGGGAAAGGUAGGGUAGAAAUCAGCCUGCAUCCAUACUUGAGUGUUCAUUCCUUCUGUCAGAGUGAAAAGAAAGCCACUUCACUGGGCACAGAACAUUUUUUUCCAGUAUUAAAUGCUUCAUCUGUGAGAGCUGAAAGUAGAAGCGAAUGAAGCAAAGGGACAAACCUACAAAACCGCAGAAGGUAAGCAGCAGCUGCAGCUAUAUCCUGCUUAUAAGUGAAAGUGGACAGAGAACUAUUGCAAUUGGUCUCAAAGCCUUUUUCAGUCAGAGGGGUCAUGAACCCUCAUCAUGUAUCUUUCACAAGACAUGCCAGUGGGAAGCCUGUUACAGUACCUAGCAGUAGACAGGACAGUGCCCAAGAACGUGGUGCUAGUGGGCAUUGCAUAGCGUGACAUAAGCAAGGAACUGCUCAUAGAGACAAAUAUAACUCCACUGUGUCCUACAAACAAGUGGUGGCCACUGCCACUGAAACACUUCGCUUGCAACUUUAUCCAAAUCACAAAUCUCAAGGAUAAAAACACUUAGAUAACAAUGAAGAAAGCAACAGUAAGAUUAGCUAUUUUUUUCCCCUAUCAGGGGUCAGGACAGUUCCCUCAGAGGUAGGACCUCCAACUCUAGAUUUCACCAGCCCUCACUCCCCUGAACAUUAAGGCCCGCUUAGCAUCAGAAGGCCUGAAAGGUACCCUUGCUUAUUCUUUGUACCUAUUCCUCCCAGGUGGGCUGGAAGGCAGCAACUCUGGGUUCUCAUUUCCUCAAGGAGGAACCCAUCCACAUCUACUGCCUGAUCUCUUGCUACUACCUUCAGAACAGUCUUUUGCUUUUCAGUACUUCCCAUUAACUCCAUCCCCACACCAUCUUCCUCUAAAAAUCUCUUAUAAACCAUGUGACUUAACCUAUCAAAAAACUAAUUUAGGGGAAAUUUGCUUUUAUCUACAUUUUCUGAGUCUACUCUUCUUCCCCCUCUGCAAAGAGGCAAGCAGCGCAGAGGGACCAGCACUGCACAUCUGCCCUCUGAGAAGGCUCUGCCCACAUUUCAUAAGCAAGCUGGAUGAAGACUUGCCCACAGUGUGGUUGUCACAGCCUCCCGAGGUCUUCUGCUUCUGUUCUUCCAGCAGAAGAGGAAUCAAUCCCCACACUCCAGACUUGGGAGAUUAAGUCUUCAGGAUAGACCACUGUAUUGUAUGAUUGAAAAUAUCAUCUUUCCAGCUGUGUCACUCAUCACAGUAAAGUACUGCUCCUUUGAGUUCCAAAAAGCCCUCUGUGAUCCUCCCUCAGCACACUCUGUGCUCCGGUGCUCUGCAACCACCAGAUAGUAUUGAUGUCCCCUAAUGAAAACAAGCCCUUCCUUUUCCUGGCUGUGAGGCAGACUCUGUGACUCAGCAGAAGCUACUGCAUGAAUAAACAUGAUGGGCCAGAUUCUCCUUGACACAAGCAGCCCUUUCACACCCUUCUGACAAUGCCAAAGAGCAUUAAUGAGAUUGCAAGUGUGCGUUAUGCCCACGUUAAGUUCUCACUGCAAUGCCAUAAAUGUGUGAGGAAGCCUCAGAAUAAAUGAAAUCAGACCCAGUAAGAACAGAAAUGCUACAAUGGGAUUUCUGUGGGAACUUUCCCAAAAGUCAUCUCCCACUGAAACUGUACUCUAGGCUGGUGCUCAUUCUGCUGGUCACAUGUGGCUCCCAGAUCUCUUCAGUUCAUCAGCCUCAGAACAUAUGUGAUGGCGUCUCUGUGCAGUGGAAAAAAAAGAAAUGAAAAGGUGGCUCUGCUUCCAACUCCACAAAGGAUAUGAGCAGGCUGUGUAUGCUUCUGCAAUCCUUGUCAGUCAGUAAAAUUAGAUCCUUACAGCCCUCUCACUUGAAGACAUGUAACUAGCUAGACAUCAGGCAGUACAGGUCUGCAUUUGAGGCAUGAAUGCAGCAGCUGAAUGGUAGGAAUGCUGGAUUGGUUUUGGCAUUGCCAGAACCUUUCUCGUGGUCUGUAAUCUCAAAGGGCAAUUAACAGACUGUGUGGACACAUAACUAAUAAUUUCAGAAGAGCUUGUCCUAAUAUAUAACUAUAUUUUUCCUUUCUAUUAUGACUUUUGUAUGAACUCUAAAUGAAACACAGGAAUAAAAUAUCUGCA
rnacentral:lncRNA from 1 species